rnacentral:rRNA from 1 species
GAGUUUGAUCAUGGCUCAGAUUGAACGCUGGCGGCAUGCCUUACACAUGCAAGUCGAACGGCAGCAUGAUCUAGCUUGCUAGAUUGAUGGCGAGUGGCGAACGGGUGAGUAAUACAUCGGAACGUGCCCUGUAGUGGGGGAUAACUAGUCGAAAGAUUAGCUAAUACCGCAUACGACCUGAGGGUGAAAGUGGGGGACCGCAAGGCCUCAUGCUAUAGGAGCGGCCGAUGUCUGAUUAGCUAGUUGGUGGGGUAGAGGCCCACCAAGGCGACGAUCAGUAGCUGGUCUGAGAGGACGAUCAGCCACACUGGGACUGAGACACGGCCCAGACUCCUACGGGAGGCAGCAGUGGGGAAUUUUGGACAAUGGGGGCAACCCUGAUCCAGCAAUGCCGCGUGUGUGAAGAAGGCCUUUGGGUUGUAAAGCACUUUUGUCCGGAAAGAAAUCGCACUUACUAAUAUUAGGUGUGGAUGACGGUACCGGAAGAAUAAGGACCGGCUAACUACGUGCCAGCAGCCGCGGUAAUACGUAGGGUCCAAGCGUUAAUCGGAAUUACUGGGCGUAAAGCGUGCGCAGGCGGUUGUGCAAGACCGAUGUGAAAUCCCCGGGCUUAACCUGGGAAUUGCAUUGGUGACUGCACGGCUAGAGUGUGUCAGAGGGGGGUAGAAUUCCACGUGUAGCAGUGAAAUGCGUAGAGAUGUGGAGGAAUACCGAUGGCGAAGGCAGCCCCCUGGGAUAACACUGACGCUCAUGCACGAAAGCGUGGGGAGCAAACAGGAUUAGAUACCCUGGUAGUCCACGCCCUAAACGAUGUCAACUAGUUGUUGGGGAUUCAUUUCCUUAGUAACGUAGCUAACGCGUGAAGUUGACCGCCUGGGGAGUACGGUCGCAAGAUUAAAACUCAAAGGAAUUGACGGGGACCCGCACAAGCGGUGGAUGAUGUGGAUUAAUUCGAUGCAACGCGAAAAACCUUACCUACCCUUGACAUGCCACUAACGAAGCAGAGAUGCAUUAGGUGCUCGAAAGAGAAAGUGGACACAGGUGCUGCAUGGCUGUCGUCAGCUCGUGUCGUGAGAUGUUGGGUUAAGUCCCGCAACGAGCGCAACCCUUGUCUCUAGUUGCUACGAAAGGGCACUCUAGAGAGACUGCCGGUGACAAACCGGAGGAAGGUGGGGAUGACGUCAAGUCCUCAUGGCCCUUAUGGGUAGGGCUUCACACGUCAUACAAUGGUGCAUACAGAGGGUUGCCAAGCCGCGAGGUGGAGCUAAUCCCAGAAAAUGCAUCGUAGUCCGGAUCGUAGUCUGCAACUCGACUACGUGAAGCUGGAAUCGCUAGUAAUCGCGGAUCAGCAUGCCGCGGUGAAUACGU